rnacentral:rRNA from 1 species
UACGAAGGGGGGCUAGCGUUGCUCGGAAUCACUGGGCGUAAAGCGCACGUAGGCGGCUUUUUAAGUCAGGGGUGAAAUCCUGGAGCUCAACUCCAGAACUGCCUUUGAUACUGAGAGCUUGAGUCCGGGAGAGGUGAGUGGAACUGCGAGUGUAGAGGUGAAAUUCGUAGAUAUUCGCAAGAACACCAGUGGCGAAGGCGGCUCACUGGCCCGGUACUGACGCUGAGGUGCGAAAGCGUGGGGAGCAAACAGG